GGCGCCCCGGUGGCUUCCUCGCGCUAGGAGUCCGGGGCUGGGGCGGGCCUCCCCGCGCCCGUGGGAUGAGUCCGGCCCCGGAGGGCGAGGCGCCGCUGUCACCAUCCCCAGGAGACGACGGCGGGGUGCGCUAAGUGCUGGGAAGGUAGCAGUGCCAGUACUGUCAGGAGGCAGUGGGGCCACGUGCACAAUGGCUGAAAGAGCGACCACCCAAAGUGAUGUAUUUCAGUAUUGAAGAUGCACAGAGACCUGUAUCAGUUGACCUCAGCCUGUGACCAGUGGAGUAAAGAGUCACUAACUCAGAAAGAUCCAGCAACUCAGGCUUCAGAAUUCACCUAUAACUAACAUGUGAAGUUCCUGUUACAUUUUGGGUACUGCACCCAGUGAAAGGGGGCCUAGCUUAGAGAAUCUUCAGAUUAUUCUUCUGCAUCUCUAAUCCAGUCAUUUGAGUUACACUGACUAUAAAACAUAGUAGUGCAAUACAGAGUCAGAGCCUGGAUUUUUAGUCCAUUGUGAAGACAUAACACUCACUGGCCAGCAUGACUGCUAAUAGAUUUUAUUAGCAUAAUUGCAUUUAUGUUAUUAUACCAACUCAAGCACACCAAAAUC